CCAAGGAGUCUAACAUGUGCGCGAGUCACUCGGUCUUGUUUAGGCCAGAGAGGCGCAAUGAAAGUAAAGUUGAUUGAGUUACGAUCCUUAUGUCGGUCAUGUCUUUGCACGUGACGGUAGGGCGCAGUAACAGCCCGCUAAUUUCGCUUGUUGACGAUCUGGCGGAGUUUUAGCGUACACGUUGGUACCCGAAAGAUGGUGAACUAUGCCUGGGCAAGACGAAGCCAGAGGAAACUCUGGUGGAGGUCUGUAGCGAUUCUGACGUGCAAAUCGAUCGUCAGACCUGGGUAUAGGGGCGAAAGACUAAUCGAACCAUC
rnacentral:rRNA from 1 species